rnacentral:lncRNA from 1 species
AAAACACUUCACUCACCCAACUUCCCCAACAUUCAUCAGACACGCUGUGAAUUGGAAACCCUAAUCCAAUUCGAAACCUGAAAAUCCCCCAAAUCCAUUGGCUUCUGGAAGGAAUUCGUUGAACUUUUCUUCCUGAAGGCAAAAUCGUUUCUGUGGAAGUAAAUGAAAUUACCCAAAAUUGAAACCCACGAACCCCAAGGCGAACCUUGCGAUUUUUCCCGAAAAAAUCGAUCUGCAUCUGCACCGGCAGGUUAAUGGAUCCACCGAUAGUUUACUGGGUUUCUUCCAUCUUUUUUGCAGUUUUUGGAGGAGGAUGAUUCUGUUACUUAUUUUAGAGAUUUUAAGAAAAAAGCCCAUUUUUUGUCAAUGGUGAUGAGGUAUGUAUCUAUAAAUAUUUCAAGUUCUACCAAAGUUUCGUAUUCUGCAGUAAUAUUUUUGGUUUGUUCAAUUAAAAAUUCUUCUUGAACUUUUUUGGAAAUUCUGGAGAUGGUGCAUAAUAAUGAAAUUAACCAUUAAUUAGCAAAUCUUAACUUGCUUUCUUGAAUUUGGGUUCAUUGUCACUGAUCAAGCCUUUUUCUUCUGCUCGAUUAUCUAUAACUUUGUAAUGGUACUUCUUUUGGUGGCUUUGUUGUGGAACAUUUACACUUUUUGAUUCCUAUAACAUGUUUUUUAGGAGUGGAAGACGUGCUGUGGGAUGUAAGUUUUUUAGAGUUGAAGAAAAUUAAUGGAAAUGUUGUAUGGCAUGUAUAGAUGAUGCAAGGAUACGGUAGAAUUUUCUUUGCAUUUAGAGAGUCUUCCAUAUUCAGAAACAAUUUAUGUGUGCAUGAUUGUUCUAUAUUGAUCUUUGAUUUGUAACUGCAGUGGCAAAGAAUUUUGUAUCUAUGGUUAAAUUGAUCUUUUUCUCUAGUUGAUGCAUCUCAUGUGUAUCAGUAUGACAUAGUUGGACUCAUUUGACGAUAUUUUCUUUGCAUUAUUUGUAGUGGACAAAGUAGAAACUUUGAAGCACUACAAAUUUAGCGUCACUUUCG